GUUUAAUUGUGUUACGUAACUUUUGUUUCAUUAGUUAAACACUUAAACUAGUUGUAGUUUAGAUGUAAGUUAUCAUGGCUCCUGCAUGUGACUGACACUCACACAUUAACCUACCAGUUGUCACAAGUUGCCUUGCAUCAAAAAGUUAUUGGAUAAGUUUCUCUUCUACAACACUAGUCUUCAGAUCUUUAUACUCAAAUCAGCUAUGCCUCAAUUAUUCAUAUUCUUCCAUGACUAUUUCAUAUGCAUAUUGAUAUUCUUGAAU
rnacentral:misc_RNA from 1 species